rnacentral:rRNA from 1 species
UACGGGGGGGGCAAGCGUUGUUCGGAAUUACUGGGCGUAAAGGGCUCGUAGGUGGCCAACUAAGUCAGACGUGAAAGCCCCCGGCUCAACCGGGGAAUUGCGUUCUGAACUGGACGGCUGGAGUGGGAUAGAGGUGUGCGGAACUUCCGGUGGAGCGGUGAAAUGUGUUGAUAUCGGAAGGAACGCCGGUGGCGAAAGCGGCACACUGGGUCUCAACUGACGCUGAGGCACGAAAGCCAGGGGAGCGAACGGG